GACGAACGCUGGCGGCGUGCUUAACACAUGCAAGUCGAACGGAAAGGCCCUGCUUUUGUGGGGUGCUCGAGUGGCGAACGGGUGAGUAACACGUGAGUAACCUGCCCUUGACUUUGGGAUAACUUCAGGAAACUGGGGCUAAUACCGGAUAGGAGCUCCUGCUGCAUGGUGGGGGUUGGAAAGUUUCGGCGGUUGGGGAUGGACUCGCGGCUUAUCAGCUUGUUGGUGGGGUAGUGGCUUACCAAGGCUUUGACGGGUAGCCGGCCUGAGAGGGUGACCGGCCACAUUGGGACUGAGAUACGGCCCGGACUCCUACGGGAGGCAGCAGUGGGGAAUAGUGCACAAUGGGCGGAAGCCUGAUGCAGCAAAGCCGCGUGCGGGAUGACGGCCUUCGGGUUGUAAUCCGCUUUCGCCUGUGACGAAGCGUGAGUGACGGUAAUGGGUAAAGAAGCACCGGCUAACUACGUG
rnacentral:rRNA from 1 species